AAUCAACGCUGGCGGCGUGCCUAACACAUGCAAGUCGAACGAGAAAGUGGAGCAAUCCAUGAGUACAGUGGCGACCGGGUGAGUAACACGUGACUAACCUACCCUCGAGUGGGGGAUAACUCCGGGAAACCGGGGCUAAUACCGCAUAACAUCGCGAGGUGAAAUUCCUUGUGAUCAAAGGAGCAAUUCGCUUGAGGAGGGAGUCGCGUCUGAUUAGCUAGUUGGUGAGGUAACGGCCCACCAAGGCAAUGAUCAGUAGCCGGCCUGAGAGGGCGCACGGCCACACUGGAACUGAAACACGGUCCAGACUCCUACGGGAGGCAGCAGUGGGGAAUUUUGCGCAAUGGGGGAAACCCUGACGCAGCAACGCCGCGUGGAGGAUGAAGUCCUUUGGGAUGUAAACUCCUUUCGACCGGGACGAUAAUGACGGUACGGGAGGAAGAAGCACCGGCUAACUCUGUGCCAGCCGCCGCGGUAACAC
rnacentral:rRNA from 1 species